rnacentral:rRNA from 1 species
AGCAGUAGCCGCGGUAAUACGUAGGUCCCGAGCGUUGUCCGGAUUUAUUGGGCGUAAAGCGAGCGCAGGCGGUUAGAUAAGUCUGAAGUUAAAGGCUGUGGCUUAACCAUAGUACGCUUUGGAAACUGUUUAACUUGAGUGCAAGAGGGGAGAGUGGAAUUCCAUGUGUAGCGGUGAAAUGCGUAGAUAUAUGGAGGAACACCGGUGGCGAAGGCGACUCUCUGGUCUGUAACGGACGCUGAGGAGCGAAAGCGUGGGGAGCGAACAGGAUUAGAUACCCCCGUAGUCCCUGUCUCUUAUACC